rnacentral:rRNA from 1 species
ACGUAUGUCGCAAGCGUUAUCCGGAUUUAUUGGGCGUAAAGCGCGUCUAGGCGGUUUGGUAAGUCUGAUGUGAAAAUGCGGGGCUUAACUCCGUAUUGCGUUGGAAACUGCCAAACUAGAGUACUGGAGAGGUGGGCGGAACUACAAGUGUAGAGGUGAAAUUCGUAGAUAUUUGUAGGAAUGCCGAUGGGGAAGCCAGCCCACUGGACAGAUACUGACGCUAAAGCGCGAAAGCGUGGGUAGCAAACAG